UACGAGAGGCCCAAACCGUUAUUCGGAAUUACUGGGCUUAAAGAGUUCGUAGGCGGCAUGAAAAGUAGGGUGUGAAAGCCCUCGGCUCAACCGAGGAAUUGCGCUCUAAACUGUCGUGCUCGAGGAACCUAGAGGUGAGCAGAACAGAUGGUGGAGCGGUGAAAUGCGUUGAUAUCAUCUGGAAUACCGGAGGCGAAGGCGGCUCACUGGGGGUUUUCUGACGCUGAGGAACGAAAGCCAGGGUAGCGAACGGG
rnacentral:rRNA from 1 species